CGGGAGUGUCAUCUGUAAAACUUCACAACAGAGUUCUCUUCAUGUUUGGGGGAGCAGUCGUGGGUGUGUGCAGUGAACAGAAGGGGGCCGAGCACACAGCCCUGGGGGCCUCCGGUGUUCAACACUGGAGUGGAAGAGGUUUGGCUGGCAAUCCAAACAGCCUGGAGUCCACUAGUGAGGAAGUCUAAAAACUAGUUUGAGAAUGAGUGCUAAUUGUCGGAUUGUGUUGGAUGCUGAGUGUGAGCCUGCCAGAGCUGAGCAUCAUAAGCCGCCCGGCCCGGGCCCCCAGACCUCGGAAGAGCCUUGCGACUGUACCUGUCCGCGUCUCAAGUGUGAUGAGUUGGGAUAUGGACUUUUACGAAGCAGUGCGAAAACCAACGUAUUUGGCGAAUUGGAAAAAAGGCAUGUUUGUGUAUGUGCUAGAUUAAUAAAGGCCCUCAUAAAAAAUAA